rfam:Dipodomys ordii contig_47039, whole genome shotgun sequence.
GGUGGCUCAGUGGUAGAGCGCUCGCCUUGCAUGCCUGAGGCCCUGGGUUCAAUUCCUCAGCACCA